CCAACUAGAAAAUUUCCAACAAAAUCUUCACUGACGUAUGUGAUCUGAGUGGUUUCUUAAAUCUACAGGAAGUGGAUAACCGACGUAGGCUUACGACCUAACCUAUAACUGCUGUAGGAACAUCAUAAAGAGAAUAAUGAGAAAAGACGGAAAAUGCGGAUCCGAGUCUCUUCCUGAGCAAAAGAAUGAUAUUUACGGGAUAUUCUAAGUAACAAUGAACUGACUUCGAGUCUGUGGCCAAGAGAGCGGGAACUUCGGUGCACAAUGGCCGACGGGCAAUUUGUCAUCGAUGAUUUGCAGUUCUGGUGCCUCCCUGUACUGAUUCCUGGGGAUUCCUUUCAACGUGAAAUCUCGUGCCUUUUUCUACGUAUCUCUUUGCUCCUCUGGUUCUAUGAACUGUUUGCCUCUUUGGUUUCCUUCUAGAAGUGGAGUUUUCAUAGUUCUGACACAAGGGUGAGGAAGUGCUGGAGGUUAGUUGCCAAAAGGCGACCCUUUCAAUCGACGAGUAGCAGUUGGGCGUCCGGGGUCAGAGAUUCGACGCGCUCUCGAACUGUUUGCGCAAUUUCACGGCCACUUCAGGCAGAUCGGGCAAAUUGCUCAGAUCAUUGGGACUCUCGUUGAGAACCGUCACUGCCACUAAUCGCUGUCGUCGACUCCUAAUUGAGAAAGAGGCGACCAGCAAGCAAGCAGAUCUCAACUCUCAAGUCUGAGCCAAGUCUCGUAAGACUAGUUUGAUAUCUUUUUUUUACUGUAUCGACAAUCCGCUGGACUCAUGUGUGAAGGAAUAACGAUAUAUGGAUGGUUCCACCCUUUCAUGGUACUACAGACCUGAAAUUGUCAGGCCCUUCUCUCAAUUUCCCUUUAUUUGACAUUUAAAUGCUCCUUUACGCGAUUUCCGUUACAAUUUCGGCCAAUUCCUUAGACUGUCCGCCUCAGGGUAUCCUCUGCUAUUGGUCCACGCCCCGCUGACUGGACUGUUUUUUAUUGCCGCGGUUCCAAUGGGAGAAAAAGAGUUGUCCAUCCAACUGAUCCACGUACAAUGGCAUUGGCGAUGACAAUAGUUCUCAGUAGUGUAGACCAGGGUGUAGUAGGGAGUAAAAUUUCACCUGUCAUCCUAUUAGAUGGAAAUAAUUAUCUGGACCAUGGUUCUUCACACUAUGGUCAAGUCCCUAAAAAAUUACCAGAACAUUAAUUACAGUAGUAUUCAUACAACGCUAUAGCUAUAUUGCUAAAAGGACUUUGAAAAUUGGUAUAAUUUCAUACCUUAAACUGUUUACGAUGGAAUUAAAUGUAAUUGUCAAGAUUACACCAGGCGCAUUACACCCCAGCGUUAAUCACUAUAACAAGGUAGCUAUAUACAUCGUGUAUUUCGACUACCGUUUCAUAAGUCAAACACCACGUUCUUUGGUGCGCCGACACCUAAAACACCGUCUGCAUACCAAAACGGCCAACCGUAAUGUCCGCCAUGAUUGCGACACACGUAUCUUCUUUAUUAACCUGCCGACCAUUGAGAACGAAGAGUAAAGCAGAUUUAACCAAUUUUUAUUGUGACAAAUUUGUAUCAAUAUUUUUUUUGGUAAUAUUUAAGUGUAAAAGAUUCUCAUAGAAUAUCAAUAUGCCGUGGAUAAGGUUUUUUUGCAAAAGAAAUAAAUUAUACCACAGGGACUGUGUAUGGUUAAAAUUGCAAACGUAACCCAGCCGAGGGUUGCAUUAUUUUAUUAGUGGGUUUGCGGGCACGAGGCAAUAAUUCACGUUAUUAAUACGCCGUAACAGCGGACUGCUAAUGGUACAAGGGUAGCAUUUAAGGGUGAGCAUUGAGGGUCUCCCCACUUUUGAAUUACCACCUCAUUUAUAUUUCACGUGUGAGUUAAGCGCGCGCUUCCUUCCCGACCCGAGGACAACUAUUAAUUUUUAUAUAAAAAAUUUAAUUCUCAACUAUAUCUGGUAAUUGAAGGGCGCUCGAUUAACCCUCAAAUAUAAUUUAUUUCUUGGCUAUAAAUACUGCAGUCCCCCUCCAUUCUCGUUGCAUAUGAUGAAUUGUAACAGCUCAAUGCAAUUCUUACAUAACUAAUGUCGUUUUUCAUCUAAAAAUAUGAUGUAUCUUGAUAAUUAAUAAAAAAAAAAGUAUCCAUAGAAUAUUGUCGUUUCUUAUAAAAUCAAGUGAAAUCUUCAUCCUCCAUUUUCACAGAGAGUGAAUACGAAGGAUUCCUCAGGAACGAAAUGAUGGGUGUGACCGGUCUCGAUGGUAUCGGGUGUUUGUUUAAAUAAUUGAAUGCUUUGGGAUGUGUAUAUCUUCAAGUCGGCAUCUGAGCAGGCAAUAUGUAUGAUAAUUUUUACAUGCCCACACCUUAUAAUAGGUCUACUACAGUAUACACAGUCGUAUAGUCAGUAUACGUUAACUGGUUAAGAUCCAACGUAUUUCCAUCAGCUUGAAUGCACGUUGUCCUCGUAAAUUAUUAUAUUAAUGCGACGGAGGAGCUUUCAU